GGAGAAGCACUUGAAGAUGAAAGCAAAGAGGAAAAUUGUGGAUAUGCCUGGAAACGGUGACGUACCAUUCACGCACGCGAAUAUUAGCUUAGCCCGAAGAGAACUCGGAUAUAAACCGACUACUGAUUUGCAAACCGGAUUGAAGAAGUUUGUUAAAUGGUAUCUCUCGUUUUACGGCUACAAUCACGGGAAAGUUGUAAAUUAAGUGGAUUGUUCUUUUAAUCUUUUUUUUUUUUCAAUUUAAAAAAAAAAUGGGAAAAGAGAAUCUUGGGAGCUAAAAAGAUAGGGAAAAUGAUAUAAAGAAAAAAAAAAAACACAUUAUUCUU
rnacentral:misc_RNA from 1 species